AGUCUUUUUUCAAAGGUAUUCUGGAAUUAACGGAUGCAAUUUGGUAAAACUUGGUUUUGACUAGUAGGGCACACCCGCCAUUGUUCGGACCAUCGACAGAAUAACGUUCGUGUUUUUCAGAUUUCUCCAUCCAAGACAUAGAUUUGCUGAUGAAUAACAUCGCAAAGAUCUUGGUGUAUUGUCUUCAUACUUGGCCACAACAACCCUUCAAAUAGACCAGACUAAACUAAAUUAACUUGACCACCAUAUUAACAUUCAAGAAGUUCGGCCUACAUGUCAGAUUUAUGAAUGUGAACAGCAGGAUAUCGAUUUUAAGGAUGCUUUAGGGUCAAUGACAAUGAAAUCACGAGAGAUAAAGGCUAAAAUGUGAGACUGUCAAUCUGACUAACCUUGAAGUGAACAAAUGGAAAAAAUGUCUCU